CAUAAUGAGGGAUUCUAUGCAUGUGUGGGGAAUCCCUGUACCUUCCUCUUAAUUUUGUUAUGAACCUAAAACUGUUGUAAGAAAAUAUAAGUGUUAAAAAAAGAAAAGAGAGAGAGAAGAGCAGAGACCUGUGAAACUCAAGAAAUCAGCUAUCUGAUUCCCAAAGCACACCAGUGAAACAUGCAUAGAACUAAUUCUUCGUACUUCCCAUUUUAAGAGCUGGGACUAUGAGUAUACUGUUGAGCAGCAAUGGUGAUAGGAGACAUGCAGACUCAAGAGGUGAAAAGUCUUUACUCUUUUCCUGAUAUACAGAAACAUGUGUAAAGCUGGUCAUUUAUUCCUUCACUUUUGAAAGAUUAUUAGUGAAGACCACCAGUCCUGCUGUAUUGAGGGAAGGUUUUAAUA